AAAAUUAGAUAUAGGGCAACAUGGGAAAAGACGGUUACAGUGUUACUUUUGUUUUCUCUACACGAGUUCAUAGAAAAUUUCGGCAUCUCCAGAUUUUGAUUAUCCAGAAGCUUUACGGAAGGGAAAGGCCCUUACAAAUUAACUUGCAUCUGAAUCCUUCUGUUGAGAAAUUGUUCUAGGCUCAGACAUGACCUCACCUCUA